rnacentral:misc_RNA from 1 species
GAUGAAGAACGUAGCGAAAUGCGAUAAGUAAUGCGAAUUGCAGAAUUCCGUGAGUCAUCGAAUCUUUGAACGCACAUUGCGCCCAUUAGUAUUCUAGUGGGCAUGCCUGUUCGAGCGUCAUUAAUUCCACUUAAGCCCUGCUUAGUGUUGGGAAUCUACUCUAGUGGUGCUACCCUGGAGCUACCCCUGAAAGGGGGCUGGCCCGGUAGCUACCCUGUAGUUCCUCAAAGAUAGUGCGCGGAGUUGCGUGGUCCUCUGAGCUUAGUAACUAUACACCUAGCUUUUGAGUGUCCCGCGGCGCCUGCCGUUUAAACCCCAUCUUUUAAUGGUUGACCUCGGAUCAGGUAGGAAUACCCGCUGAACUUAAGCAUAUCAAUAAGCGGAGGA